rnacentral:rRNA from 1 species
ACGGAAGGCAGCAGUGAGGACUAUUGGUCAAUGGGCGGAAGCCUGAACCAGCCAUCUCGCGUGCAGGACUACGGCCCUACGGGUCUUAAACUGCUUUUAUGGGGGGAUAAAGUCGGGCAUGCGUGUCCGUUUGCAGGUACCCCAUGAAUAAGGAUCGGCUAACUCCGUGCCAGCAGCCGCGGUAAUACGGAGGAUCCGAGCGUUAUCCGGAUUUAUUGGGUUUAAAGGGUGCGCAGGCGGCCCGUUAAGUCAGCGGUGAAAUGUCGGGGCUCAACCCGGGCACUGCCGUUGAAACUGGGGGGCUUGAGUACGGAUGAGGUCGGCGGAAUGUGACGUGUAGCGGUGAAAUGCAUAGAUAUGUCACAGAACACCGAUUGCGAAGGCAGCCGGCCAAUCCGCAACUGACGCUCAUGCACGAAAGCGUGGGGAUCAAACAGGAUUAGAUACCCUGGUA